rnacentral:rRNA from 1 species
AUCGAUGAAGAACGCAGCGAAAUGCGAUAAGUAAUGUGAAUUGCAGAAUUCAGUGAAUCAUCGAAUCUUUGAACGCACCUUGCGCCCUUUGGUAUUCCGAAGGGCAUGCCUGUUUGAGUGUCAUUAAAUUCUCAACCUUGCAAGCUUUUUUGCUAGCGAGGCUUGGAUGUGAGGGCUUUUGCUGGCUUCCUUCAUUGGAUGGUCUGCUCCCUUUAAAUUCAUUAGUGGGAUCCUUUGUGGAUGGUCACUUGGUGUGAUAAUUAUCUACGCCGCCUGACUCUGAAACAAGACUUGUGGGGACCUGCUCAUAACCGUCUCUUCAAGGGACAAUCUUUAUUGACAAUUUGACCUCAAAUCAGGUAGGACUACCCGCUGAACUUAAGCAUAUCAAUAAGCGGAGGAAAAGAAACUAACAAGGAUUCCCCUAGUAACUGCGAGUGAAGCGGGAAAAGCUCAAAUUUAAAAUCUGGCGGUUUCACCGUCCGAGUUGUAAUUUAGAGAAGUGUUAUCCGCGCUGGACCGUGUACAAGUCUCCUGGAAUGGAGCGUCAUAGAGGGUGAGAAUCCCGUCUUUGACACGGACUACCAGGGCAUUGUGAUACGCUCUCAAAGAGUCGAGUUGUUUGGGAUUGCAGCUCAAAAUGGGUGGUAAAUUCCAUCUAAAGCUAAAUAUUGGGGAGAGACCGAUAGCGAACAAGUACCGUGAGGGAAAGAUGAAAAGAACUUUGGAAAGAGAGUUAAACAGUACGUGAAAUUGCUGAAAGGGAAACGCUUGAAGUCAGUCGCGUCGUUCAGGAUUCAGCUUUAGCAUCUGCUAUGUGCAUUUCCUGUUUGACGGGUCAGCAUCAGUUUUGGCCGGUGGAUAAAGGUUCAGAGAAUGUGGCAUCUUCGGAUGUGUUAUAGCUCUGGGUCGCAUACAUCGGCUGGGACUGAGGAACUCAGCACGCCGCAAGGCCAGGUUUCGACCAUGUUCGUGCUUAGGAUGCUGGCAUAAUGGCUUUAAUCGACCCGUCUUGAAACACGG